GAUGAACGCUGACAGAAUGCUUAACACAUGCAAGUCGAUGGGGAAGUGGUGCUUGCACCAUGGCAACCAUGGCGGACGGGUGAGUAACGCGUAAGGGACUUACCUGCAGGACUGGGAUAACAGGGGGAAACUCCUGACAAGACCGGAUAAUGUCAUGGAGCUGCAUGGCUUUAUGAUGAAAGGAGACGCCUGCGGAGAGCCUUGCGUCCUAUUAGCUAGUUGGUGAGGUAAUGGCUCACCAAGGCGAAGAUAGGUAGCCGGCCUGAGAGGGUAGACGGCCACAAGGGGACUGAGAUACGGCCCUUACUCCUACGGGAGGCAGCAGUGGGGAAUAUUGGACAAUGGGGGCAACCCUGAUCCAGCAAUUCUGUGUGCACGAAGAAGGUUUUCGGAGUGUAAAGUGCUUUCAGCAGGGAAGAAGUAAGUGACGGUACCUGCAGAAGAAGCGACGGCUAAAUACGUG
rnacentral:rRNA from 1 species